AUGCCGUGCUCCACGCCGGCAAGGAGAUCGGCUUCUUCCAUUUAUCCGGUGAUCAACCAUGGCAUGCCAGAGCGUACAAUGAGGGAGAUGGAGAUGGCGUGCGGCGACUUCUUCCGCCUCCCGGCUACGGACAAGGCAACACUGUACUCGGAGGACACCGAGCAGACCAACCGGCUCUUCUCCAGCACCAUGUACAGGUCCGCCGCCGGUGAGAGCUACUCAUGCCAUUGCCUCCAUCUCGCCUGCCACCCCGUCGAGCGCACCAAGCCCGCGUGGCCCGAGAAGCCCGCCGGUCUCCGCCCCGCCCUCGAGAACUUCAUCGUCCCCGCUCGCAGCAUCGCGAUGGAGCUCCUCCGUCUCCUCUGCGAGGGCGUCGGGCUCCGGCCGGACUACUUCGAGGGCGGCCUCACCGGCGGCGACGUGAUCGUCGACGCGAGCCACUACCCGCCGUGCGCGGACCCGGGCCUCACCCUCGGCCUGCCGCCGCGCUAUGACUGGAACCUCAUCACCGUGCUGCUCCAGCCCGGGUACGUGCGUGGUCUGCAGGUGCUGUACAAUGGCGAUUGGGUCGACGUCGAGCCCAUACCGGGAGCGCUCGGCAUCAGCUUCGGCCACCAGCUGGAGAUCGCCACCAACGGGGCGCUCCGGAGCGUGGAGCGCCGGACCGUGGCCAACGCCGUCGUGGGGAGGACCUCGGUGGCGGCCAUCAUCAUGCCGACCAUGGACUGUGUGGUGGGGCCCGCCAAGGAGCUCGUCGGCGAGGGCAGGCCGGCGAGGUACCGGAGCGUCGCGUUCCGCGACUUCAUGCACGUCUACAAGACACUCGGCGCGUGCAAGGAGAGCGUCGAGGAGGCCUUAAAGAUCUCACCAUAUCAAGCAUCAUCAUGGUACAUGGGUAUGGAUACUACUAAUGAAGGAAGAAGAGUACAUUAA
rnacentral:rRNA from 1 species